GGACUGUAGCUCAGUGGUAGAGCACAUGUUUUGUAUACAAAUGGUUUCAGGUUCAAUCCUCAGCAUCACCA